rnacentral:rRNA from 1 species
UACAGAGGUGGCAAGCGUUGUUCGGAAUUACUGGGCGUAAAGGGCGCGUAGGCGGCCAUCUAAGUCAGACGUGAAAUCCCCCGGCUUAACCUGGGAACUGCGUCUGAUACUGGAAGGCUCGAGUUUGGGAGAGGGAUGCAGAAUUCCAGGUGUAGCGGUGAAAUGCGUAGAUAUCUGGAGGAAUACCGGUGGCGAAGGCGGCAUCCUGGACCAACACUGACGCUGAGGCGCGAAAGCUAGGGGAGCAAACAGG